rnacentral:rRNA from 1 species
UACGUAGGUGGCAAGCGUUAUCCGGAUUUAUUGGGCUUAAAGGGAGCGUAGGCGGUUUUGUAAGUCAGGGGUGAAAGACGGUCGCUCAACGAUCACAUUGCCAUUGAUACUGCAAGGCUAGAGUACAGUAGAGGUGGGCGGAAUUUAUGGUGUAGCGGUGAAAUGCAUAGAUACCAUAAAGAACACCGAUUGCGUAGGCAGCUCACUGGACUGUAACUGACGCUGAGGCUCGAAAGUGUGGGUAUCAAACAGG